rnacentral:tRNA from 1 species
UUCGAAAAACAUGAAAUCUUGAGAUCGGGCGUUCGACUCGCCCCCGGGAGAAAUCUUGAGAUCGGGCGUUCGACUCGCCCCCGGGAGA